rnacentral:lncRNA from 1 species
GCGCCGCCUUCUAUCCCAUCUACUUCCGGCCCCUAAUGAGAUUGGAGGAGUACAAUUUCCCAUAGACAAUGGAAUAUACCGAUCUGGGGCUGAGACGCCGGAUGUGAGCUGCAGCUGGAGAUGGGGCAUCAUCAGCACGUGGCUGGGAAUCAGGUCACUGCAGUAGAGAAGGAACAAGCUAUAAAUCGGGCUGGAAUUGUUCAAGAGGAUGUGCAGCCACCAGGGUUAAAAGUGUGGUCUGAUCCAUUUGGCAGGAAAUGAGAGGGCUGUCAUCAGCUCUGAUUAAGAAAGGAGAUUUCUUCAUGCUUUCGAUUCUGCAUGGGGUACAGCCAGUCACCUCACCAGAGAAUGACGGCUGGAGAAGAAAACUCUGUAAUACCAUAAAUAAGAGUGCUUGUAAUAAAAGACUGUGCACAAGGAUUAAUAUUUCCCUUCUUAAGUAUCAAAAGAACUCUGGAACAAAUUAUACCAUUAGGAAGGUUUUCAUGAUUCAGUUGAUUUUCCAAAAAUGAAGCUAUCUCACCCAGCUGGGUUUGGAGGAGCAAUCUGCUUAUUAUUCUGUCGUUACCACUUACUCAAGCGAGCUGUGAUAUGAAUACAAGCAACCAGUGGGCUCGGGAAGGUCCGGGUCUCUUCUGCCAUCUUCCAGAUAAGAGAUUUCAGUAAAAAACUGCCAUGCUGAGCUGCCUUAUAGAGCUCUUCGAAAAUGUUCGAGUUGAUAAAGCUCUUUGAGGACAAGGUACUUCGUGCACCUCAUGCUGAAGAUUGCACCGUGUUGGAAAAUAAAUAUGAAGCAAGUCAAACUAGAUGCAUACACUUGUGUAGAAAUCAAUAAUCAAUUAAUAGAAGUGA